rnacentral:ncRNA from 1 species
ACUUUUGACGUUACCUUUAGAAGAAGCACCGGCUAACUCCGUGCCAGCAGCCGCGGUAAUACGGAGGGUGCGAGCGUUAAUCGGAAUUACUGGGCGUAAAGCGCGCGUAGGCGGUUUGUUAAGUCGGAUGUGAAAGCCCCGGGCUCAACCUGGGAACUGCACCCGAUACUGGCCGACUUGAGUGCGAGAGAGGGAGGUAGAAUUCCAUGUGUAGCGGUGAAAUGCGUAGAUAUAUGGAGGAAUACCGGUGGCGAAGGCGGCCUCCUGGCUCGACACUGACGCUGAGGUGCGAAAGCGUGGGUAGCAAACAGGAUUAGAUACCCUGGUAGUCCACGCCGUAAACGAUGUCUACUAGCCGUUGGGGAACUUGAUUCUUUAGUGGCGCAGCUAACGCAAUAAGUAGACCGCCUGGGGAGUACGGCCGCAAGGUUAAAACUCAAAUGAAUUGACGGGGGCCCGCACAAGCGGUGGAGCAUGUGGUUUAAUUCGAUGCAACGCGAAGAACCUUACCAGGUCUUGACAUCCUGAGAACUUAGCAGAGAUGCUUUGGUGCCUUCGGGAACUCAGAGACAGGUGCUGCAUGGCUGUCGUCAGCUCGUGUUGUGAAAUGUUGGGUUAAGUCCCGUAACGAGCGCAACCCCUGUCCUUAGUUGCCAGCACGUAAUGGUGGGAACUCUAAGGAGACUGCCGGUGACAAACCGGAGGAAGGUGGGGACGACGUCAAGUCAUCAUGGCCCUUACGACCUGGGCUACACACGUGCUACAAUGGGAAGUACAAAGGGUUGCGAAGCGGCGACGUGGAGCCAAUCCCAUAAAACUUUUCGUAGUCCGGAUUGAAGUCUGCAACUCGACUUCAUGAAGUCGGAAUCGCUAGUAAUCGCGAAUCAGAAUGUCGCGGUGAAUACGUUCCCGGGCCUUGUACACACCGCCCGUCACACCAUGGGAGUGGGUUGCUCCAGAAGUGGUUAGUCUAACCUUCGGGGGGACGAUCACCACGGAGUGAUUCAUGACUGGGGUGAAGUCGUAACAAGGUAGCCCUAGGGGAACCUGGGGCUGGAUCACCUCCUUA